rnacentral:lncRNA from 1 species
UCUGUGAAGAUAUUUUUACACUUUAAAAAUUAUUUUAAGCAUUAAACAUGGUUAUUAUAUUAUCUGUGUUUGACAAAUCCAAGAAAUGAAAUUCUUGUAGGUUUGUUUUUGCUGGUUCUCUUUUGUGGUGCCCUGUUUACUUGCUUAUUUAAUAGAUUGUUCUACCAGAUAACAUUUGUGUUUGCUACCUGCAGGUGUCUGAGGGCGUUACCAGUUGUGCACACUUUAUGUUUAUUUAUUUAUUUUGGGGUACCCAUUCUGGUGAUGUGAAUUUGGCAUGUAUGUUUACUUGAUUGCUAGGUUUGGUUACAACUUCUUGUGGUUUUGUGUUUUUCCCCACUUUGCUAAUUGCCAAGACAACUUUCCUUGCAGUAUCUUAGGCCCAGACUCCUGGAUCACUUUUACAUUGAGAAGGAGGUAUUGUCUCCAUUUUACAAAUGAGGAACCUGAAGCUCAGAGAGAGUAAGUACUUUGCCCACUGACAGAGUAAAGGAGUGACACAGCUGGCAUUUGAAACAAGCUCUGUUUGACGUUAAAGUGUAUCUUCUACUAUAUGAUACUAGUUAUUUUUCCUUCAUCCUUCUCAUCACACUGCCUCUUAAUUAUCUUUGUAUAUUCAAAGAUGAUUUUUAUUAGAAAUUUUGGGACAGAAAUUUGCCUCACAAUUUUCACUUAUGAUUUGGAGAGAAGCAUAUUGAAAAGAUAAUUGGAAAAGGUAUCAGGAGGCCUGAAUUCUUGUACUCUCUCUGAUUCUGGCCAUAUGACAUUGGACAAAUCACCUUUUUUGGGCCUUAUUUGUAAAAUGAAGGCAUUGGACUAGAUAAUUUUAAAAGUUUCCUCAAACUCUAAAAUCUAAUUUGACUUUAUUUUAAUUUAGUGUUUACACUUGUUCUUUUUUAGCACAGAUAAAACUUCAUCACAUGUAUUUUAGCCCAUUAAACAUUGUAUUUUAUUAAAGUUAGGGGGCAAGGGGCUCUGGUUUUUAUUCUUUACUUGCACUAUUACAACUGAUGUUGAUAUUCAAAAAGUGAAGAAAUUCCAUAUAAAGAAGUAAUUAAUCAUAUUAUAAGGACAUUCUUUUUUUUAAACUAUUGAAGAUUCUCUUGGGUUUUACAAUCAGAAAGAAUAAU